UAAAAAUUUGAUUUUGGUUUGGGCUUGGCUGUGACUAGUGUUAACACAUGAUAGUUUUGUCGAGUCUGUAAAUGGUGCCCAUCAUCUUUUUCCUUAGAUAGGAAAGAAGGGUUGAUUGGUUUGUUUUAUCAGAUGAGUUGAUAACGAAAAUAUUUACAACAUCAGUGUAGGAUUUUAAUAGAAAAAAGAGAUUUAGUUUUAGAGAUAGUUUUUAAGGGUAGUUAAAUUUGUGCCAGCAACUGCGGUUAAACAAUGGGCUUUAGUCAAGUGUUAGGCGGUAAAAAUAGUUAUAUUAAUAAAGUUAUUUUUUGUUUUGUAGAGAGGUAAAAUUUUAAUAUACUGAUGAAAACUUAGAGUAACUAUGUGUAGAGUCUAUGAAACUUUUAAUUAAAACUGGGAUUAGAUACCCCAUUAUUAGAAGUUUAAAUUAUUUACCAGGGUACUAUGAGCUAUAGCUUGAAAUCCAAAGGAUUUGGCGGUGCUUUAGUUUCUAUCCAGGGGAACCUGUUCUUUAAAUCGAUAUUCCGCGUUUUACCUUACUUUCUUUAUUUAGAAAAAUUGGUUUGUAUACUGCCGUCGUCAGUUUACGCUUUAGGCUAGAAUAGUAAACUAGAAAAUCUUAAGGUUUUGAUGUCAGGUCAAAGUGCAGCUGAUGAGAAAGCAGAAAUGGGUUACGAUUUUGAUUGAGAGAUCUGUAAUUUUACUGAAAUGUAGAAUGAUAGAAGGACUUGGAAGUAAUGUUUUGUUAGAACUAAAAUAUGAACAGAGCUCUAGGGCAUGUACAUAUCGCCCGUCGCUUUCUUAGGAAUAAGGGAUAAGUCGUAACAUAGUAGGGGUAGCUGAAGCUGUUCCUUAAGGUAU
rnacentral:ncRNA from 1 species